AUUGAACGCUGGCGGCAGGCCUAACCCAUGCAAGUCGAGCGGAUGAAGGGAGCUUGCUCCUGGAUUCAGCGGCGGCCGGGUGAGUAAUGCCUAGGAAUCUGCCUGGUAGUGGGGGAUAACGUCCGGAAACGGGCCCUAUUACCCCAUACGUCCUGAGGGAGAAAGAGGGGGAUCUUCGGACCUCACGCUAUCAGAUGAGCCUAGGUCGGAUUAGCUAGUUGGUGGGGUAAAGGCCUACCAAGGCGACGAUCCGUAACUGGUCUGAGAGGAUGAUCAGUCACACUGGAACUGAGACACGGUCCAGACUCCUACGGGAGGCAGCAGUGGGGAAUAUUGGACAAUGGGGGAAAGCCUGAUCCAGCCAGGCCGCGGGUGUGAAGAAGGUCUUCGGAUUGUAAAGCACUUUAAGUUGGGAGGAAGGGCAGUAAGUUAAUACCUUGCUGUUUUGACGUUACCAACAGAAUAAGCACCGGCUAACUUCGUG
rnacentral:rRNA from 1 species